UACGUAGGGGGCAAGCGUUGUCCGGAUUCAUUGGGCGUAAAGAGCGUGUAGGCGGCCAGGUAGGUCGGUUGUGAAAACUGGAGGCUCAACCUUCAGAGGUCGACCGAAACCAUCUGGCUAGAGUCCGGGAGAGGAGAGUGGAAUUCCUGGUGUAGCGGUGAAAUGCGUAGAUAUCAAGAGGAACACCUGCGGCGAAGGCGGGUUGCUGGGCCGACACUGACGCUGAUGCGCGAAAGCCAGGGGAGCGAACGGG
rnacentral:rRNA from 1 species